rnacentral:rRNA from 1 species
UACGUAGGGGGCUAGCGUUGUCCGGAAUCAUUGGGCGUAAAGCGCGUGUAGGCGGUCCGGUAAGUCCGCUGUGAAAGUCGGGGGCUCAACCCUCGGAUGCCGGUGGAUACUGUCGGGCUUGAGUACGGAAGAGGCGAGUGGAAUUCCUGGUGUAGCGGUGAAAUUCGUAGAUAUUAGGAAGAACACCAGUGGCGAAGGCGGCUCACUGGCCCGGUACUGACGCUGAGGCGCGAAAGCGUGGGGAGCAAACAGG